UUCAAUCUUAUCUUGAAUUUCUUUCACUAUGAAUUUUUCUCUUGAAAUAUCUCAUAAAUGUUUUUUCUUUUUGUGAAGUCAAAUUUGAGGCUGCUGUAAAUAAGAUAUGUGGUAAUUUAAAAAAAAAAUAAAAAUGGUAAAAAGAAAAGAGUUGUGCAAGUUUUAUAAGUUGAUCCAGAAAAAUGUCCUGCUAAAAAGCAAAGAAAAGCUCCAUUUUUUUUUGAACGUUAACAAUCAAAAUUUCAAAAACAAAGACGAAACAGUUCACGACCGCGUUGAAUAGAAGAUCCGUCAAAUUAAGAAGGAAAAUGUAUAAAACAGUCCCACUAUUAAGACCUGGUUUGCAAAUGAGUCAUACUGCUACAAUCAAUUAACAAAAGAGUCCUACUUCCGUUGAAAUUGAUGUUAAAUCGUCGGGUCCCACCAAUCCAGAGUUAAAGGCACUCGUAAAUUUACGAGUCUAUCCUUAACCUAACCACGGUAGAUCAGAGACCAUACAUCUUACACUUGAUACAUCUCGAGAUGAUACGGACGGACAAGAUCGGUCAUGAUAAAACUCGAAUCUAACAUUUUUGAGUCAAGGCAGAAACGAUUCCUCUGUUUCUAAUAGCUAAGCUUGCAAAAAUGGCGAAUGACUAAAGAAUGAGAGAUUUCCAGUGAGUUUCAUCGGCAAACAGAUCCGUAUAAAAUUACAUAGUGUGUAUUGUUCGAUUUAACUACAGUGGUGUUUUUGUGAAGAUUAACAAGCUUAAACUAGUAACUGGUUGUUGAAAUCGAGUGGGUUUCUUACAAGAAGAAGAAGAAACAAUGUUCGCAAGCAUCAUGAGUGACAAUGGGUUGAGGUGGAGUUCAGUUGGUGGUUGAACUAAUGGAUUUCUGAAAAGAUUAUGGGAUUUUCAUAGAAUGGUGUUGGUGGUAAGAAGAAGUUAUUACUGCAAUGGAUGUGUGCAGUUUCAUAUGGGUUUGUUUGAGAUCAGACUGAAAUUAUGAAGAAGGGGUACGGGUUCAUGGAAGAGAUAGAUGCGGCUGCAAGGUGUAUGUUAGAUUUUGCCAGUAGGAAUUUAUAAAAUUAUAAUCUAAAAGGGUAUGUUAGAUUUUGAAUUGUGAAUUUUAGUAAGUUCAAUAUGAUUAUACAGUAGUAUUGAUGUUCAAUUUGAUGCUGGAAAAUGGAGUUUUCAUUUGAAUUAAUGUUUACAGUUCUUGUUAUUUUAUCAAGUUUUGACAGGAAAUUUUAUUUGAAAUUGAUUAUAGCCUUCAUUUUGAUUAUAUGAGAAUACAAACAUUUUGGUGGUUUUGAUUUGUAAGGUGUUCAAUUUUGAUAGUGAGGGUGCAACAUUGAGGUUGCUGAGUAGUUUGUAGUGCAAAUAGUUGUUGAAAUGACAAAAUUGGAAGAUAACGACAAGUUUGUUGCCGGAGUUCUUACUGAUGGCUGAUGCUUGUUCAGAGCCUUGGUACAUGGGGCUUGCUUGAGAAGUGGCCGAGAAGAUCCAGAUAUGAAUCGUGAGGGAGAACUCGUUGAUGACUUAAGAGCUGAAGUGAUGGAUGAGUUGUUAAGGAGGCGGAAUGAGUUUGAUCAAUGGUAUGUAAAGAAAAAUGAAAUCAGACGGGAUCAGUCUGAUUUUCUGGCCAAAAAAUGCAUGCCAUGUCAUCAAAAUGCCUGCCAUGUCAUCAAAAUGCCUGUCACGUGGGUGAUGAGUUAGCUGCAGUUAACAUUUGCUUGAAUUAAGAGCGAGGGUAUUUUGGGGACAACUAACCCCGUUUUUUUGAAAAACUGUUAUGUCGGACCAAGUAGGAUCAAUUUGUAACCAAUUUACAAAAGUAUGAUCAUUUUGUAACUGAAUUACAAAAGGUAUGACCAUUUUGUAAAUGGCCCAAUUAAGAAAACUAGAGGGCCAAAGAUUGUAAUUGAUGUCAAUAUUUUAGUUCUUAUUAUUGUCUAUAAGUUUAUAUCUUGUAAAAGAAGUGGUGGUAAUAUUAAUUAAUGAGAAUAUUUAGAC